rnacentral:rRNA from 1 species
GUCCUAGCCGUAAACGAUGGACACUAGGUGUUGGUGGUAUCAACCCCGCCAGUGCCGAAGCUAACGCAUUAAGUGUCCCGCCUGGGGAGUACGGCCGCAAGGCUAAAACUCAAAGGAAUUGACGGGGGCCCGCACAAGCAGCGGAGCGUGGGGUUUAAUUCGACGCAACGCGAAGAACCUUACCAGGGCUUGACAUGACCAGGAUCCCGGCGGAAACGUCGGUUCCCCGCAAGGGGCCUGGCCACAGGUGUUGCAUGGCUGUCGU